rnacentral:hammerhead_ribozyme from 1 species
AUUCAAUUCACGAGUCCCAAAUAGAACGAAACCCGCGUCCUGAAU